rnacentral:piRNA from 1 species
UAAGAGCCCGGAUAGCUCAGUCGG